AGACGACGACGACAGUAGAAACUCCCCGACCCGUUCCCAACCUAACCCGCCUCCUACCGCCGGAGGCAGCCGUUGCGGGCGAGCAAGCGACGGCGGCAGCCGGAGCGAGGGAGCCCGCGGCGCCGUGACGGGUAGCUCCUCCGAUCCACGCGCUGCCACCGGCUGGCCGCCCGCACGCCUCCCCGCCGACGGGCUCGCCGGCCCCUCCCCACGCGCCUUCCCUCCGACAAGCGCUGCUCCCGGAUCCUCCCCGCACGCCUCCCCUCCGACGGGCUCGCCGGCCCCUCCCCGCGCGCCUCCCCUCCGACGGGUGCCGGCGCCUCCCCGCCGACGGGCGCUGGCCCCUCCCCGUCCGCCUCCUCGCUGGCGUUACUCGUCCCCUCCCCACGCGCCUCCCCGCGGGCGUUCGCCGGCCCCUACCCGCGAGUCUCCUUGCCGCCGGUCCCUCCCCGUGAAGCUCCCCGCCGCCAUCGACGCCAGCUGCUGCCCGCAAACGGGAUGGAUUCAAUGCCCGCUGCCGGAUCCAGCGCCCCCCACCACCAUCUCCCGAUUCACUGCCUGCCGCGCAUGGCGUCGCCCUUCCUUCCUUCCUCUUAUUCUUCUCUCCCAGCCGGCAGUGGCAUCCCAUGUGCUGCAGCUUCCAGCGUCGUCCUCUGCCUUGUCGGCGCACAAGCCGUUCGCCUCAGCCACCCCAGUCCGUUCACAAUUUCCAGCAGAGUCCGUUCAACACUAGCGUGCAGCUACCCGCCUCCUAGAUUCAGGGACGCAUUCAUGGCUUCAUUCAACAAUUGGACUGUGGGCAGAUGUUGAUCAACAAGUGAGCUAAGGGACUGGGACGCCCUCCUCGCCGCGGCGUCAUUGCUGGCCGUCAGCGGCGGAAGCGGGGUGGCGGUCGGGACCUUGUCGUGCUCGUCUCCGACUACUGUCAAGGUAUGCAUGCACAUCUGUACUUUAGUCAACAAAAGACAACAGGGAUUGGUAUUAUGAUUUGUGUUCUGAUUGGUCCUGCGUGUUACUUUAAUGUUGGACUGAGGAACCUGACAUUAAAAUGAAUCAUCUACAGGCUGGAACAUGGAGCUUGCAGCUUAUGUUUGUUGUAGUUUGAACUUAGGCUCGUCUCUCUCUUGUACUUCAGUUAUUCUUCAGUUUUCAGUAUUGGUGUAGUCUGUAUGGUGAAGAUGAAGUUCCUUUUUGAACUUCUCCGGUUAAUAUAGAUGAACUUGGUCAUCUUUUUUAUAUGUACUUACAUCAGCUCAUCCAGUUGUUCGUGUACUUGUAAUACUAAUCAGUUCAGAUCUCGAGAGAGGUAAGCUCAGAGAAAAAAAUACAGAAGUUCAAAGUCGAUAAAAAGGGGGAUGUUAUUUCUUUGUUGUUAUUUUUUUGCAAGCAGAUGCGACAGACGGAGGCAAGAUGCAAAGUGUGCUAUUUGUUAGAUGUUCAGUGCAGAUUUUUCUCUAAGAAAAAAGCAGCAGGAGGCAGCAGUUUUGAAUGUGCUAGUUGUAAGUCACUUAGUUGUUAGAUGGUAAUUUCAGAUUUUUGUAGAUGCAACAACUAGUUUGUUUUCUUGUGGUAGUUGAACUAGUCUUGGUUCAUAUAUUUCUCUGAGAAAAAAGUAGCAAGAGGCGGCAGUAUUGAAUGAUCUUUGUUAGAUGUUCUGUAAAUAUUAUGGAAUUUUCUGUGGGACACACCUGAACUGAAGUUGUAACCCACUAAAAGAAACUUCAACUUGUUUGAGCAUAUACUGGUUAGGUUAAUUAUCAUUACUAUAGCUCUCUGCUAUCCCAUUUGCAUACCCUAUAAUCAAUGAACGAUGUGCGCAUACUUCUGAAUUGUCUUGCCACCGUGGCCGAGUUAGCUUCAACCUGUGUAGUUUAGUUGCCAUAUCUGUGAUGCAUCCACAGUUAGUUGACCACAACUUGUACAAUUAAAUGCCACCUCUGGUUUCAGGUUUCUUCGUUGUUGUAAGGCUUGUGAAAUAUCUUACCACUGAGGUUGUGGUGCCUUUUUCUUUCAGUAAAAAUUCAGGUUGGGAAGCUUAUUUUUUCCAAAGUGAUUGUUUGGGUACUACAAGCUCCCACAGAGUGGAAGCGACUGUUACAACAGGUUUGAAGUAGAUAUUACACAAGGUUUGAUUUUUCUAGACCAUGUACAAGAACAGUAGCGUACUUAUGCAGUGGUCUGCCUUUUCUUAACUUUAUUUGAUUUUUUCGUGAAAUAUAUAAAAGCCAGUAGCAGUACUAUUACUUAUUUUACCACAGGUCAUUGACUUAAACUAUAUCAGUUUAGCACAUGUACUUACAAACCAAAUCAACAGGUUUGUAGGUUUUUUUCAGCUCAUCUUGUUGGCUUUUUUGGUUCAUAUUGCAGGCUUUUAGGAUUAGAUUCUCAUGUCUGUUUCAGUAUUAAGGAGAAGUAAAACCAUUCAUUUCUUGUAUAUUUAUUAUUACUGUAGUACUAGCUACUCCGUUCUAGUAGUAUACGGAGUAUGUGAUCAGCUCAUGCAGUAUAUACUAUGCACAAAAUGUCUGUAGGGUGCUUUACAUACAAAGAACUUGCUUUCUCUAGACCAUGCAAGCUUCCUCAAAGGAGCUCAUGUCGAACGAGUGCUUUACAUACAAAUGAGCGCAAAGAUGGCCAUUAGCUUAAUUUGGAUGUCGCGUGGGUGGCACCAUUAUCGUAAAUUUUUGUUUCUGCACUAAGUUUCUUAAUGUAUUUUCUUCACAAAAGUUUAGUGAAAAAUUUACUUCAUGUCGCAACUGUAUGUUCACCUAUGAAGGUAUCUCUCAUUGCUUAUUGUUACAUUAAUUUCCAUGGUAAGAAAGGUUUACAUUAAAAGUAACAUCCAUAUAGGAAAAAUGCUUCUAUUCUAACACUUUUUUUUGGAAAAAAGAGCACUAGUACUGAUGAGUCGUAUUGACAAGGAUGCCGUCUACAAUUCUGAUGAGUCCUACUGAGAAGGAGAUAAUUAUUGUGCAACUGGAAAAAACAAAUGUUUUAUAAAGAAAUAUGCUUGAAGUUCAAUUACUAUGGUCUAAAAAAUUCAAUUACAUCGCUAGUGCAUUCAGAAUUGCUAAUUUUAAAAAAAUGAAGUUCCUGUUUCAGGAUUAUGUAAGUUCAAAAUUAUUGUAUGAUAGGUGUGCCAUAGUUAUCUGGACUUCAAUUCUGACUAAUAUUCCAUUAUAGUACUACUGCAUAUUCACUUCUGAUUGCUUCUUGCUGCCACUAUUUUUAUCAUGAUUUUGUGUGUCCACCCAGGAGUGUUUUUGUUUCUGUAUUUUAGCUCCUCAACAACAGAAGCAUGUACAUGUAUUACUACUGCGAAGGUUCAAAAAUCAGAACUCAACAAGUUCAACGUCGAUGGUACUGUGCACAUGCGCUAAGCCGUUCUACACAGCUAAAGGAGGUGAAGGUGCUCCCCUUGGGUUCAUCUUGCAGGUUUCGUUCAAACUUGGCCACCUAGGUCGUUCAACAACACCACUAGAGCCCGUUCAGUUGCUGGCGUUCCAACUAGCCACUCAAAGUUGUGGCCAUUUAAUGACACUUUCUACAUUUGAGACAUGUGAAACUGUAGCCUUCCAGUGUUACCGUUUGGUAGCUCAGGAUGCUUUAUGUUUUGGAGAUCUACAGAGUGACUAUCUGAGAGCUGUGUUGGACUUUCUCAUUACAGCAUGGAACUUCUCUAGAAAUCCUAGUUGAUUUUUAAUGUUUGUUCCUCAUCAGUUCUAAAAAUCUUAGAGCAUCCGUCCAACUAUGUAUCAGGAUAUACUAUGUUGUAAAUUUAUGUAUGCUUGUAUGUGCAAAAAUAUAUUACGGUUGCUGCUUCUA